UACGUAGGUCCCGAGCGUUGUCCGGAUUUAUUGGGCGUAAAGCGAGCGCAGGUGGUUUAUUAAGUCUGGUGUAAAAGGCAGUGGCUCAACCAUUGUAUGCAUUGGAAACUGGUAGACUUGAGUGCAGGAGAGGAGAGUGGAAUUCCAUGUGUAGCGGUGAAAUGCGUAGAUAUAUGGAGGAACACCGGUGGCGAAAGCGGCUCUCUGGCCUGUAACUGACACUGAGGCUCGAAAGCGUGGGGAGCAAACAGGAUUAGAUA
rnacentral:rRNA from 1 species